rnacentral:rRNA from 1 species
UACAGAGGGUGCGAGCGUUAAUCGGAAUUACUGGGCGUAAAGGGCGCGUAGGCGGCGUGUCAAGUCAGGCGUGAAAGCCCCGGGCUCAACCUGGGAACCGCGCUUGAGACUGGCAUGCUCGAGUUCGGGAGAGGAUGGUGGAAUUCCCAGUGUAGAGGUGAAAAUUCGUAGAUAUUGGGAAGAACACCGAUGGCGAAGGCAGCCAUCUGGACCGACACUGACGCUGAGGCGCGAAAGCGUGGGGAGCAAACAGG